rnacentral:rRNA from 1 species
CUACGUGCCAGCAGCCGCGGUAAUACGUAGGUGGCAAGCGUUGUCCGGAAUUAUUGGGCGUAAAGCGCGCGCAGGCGGAUUGGUCAGUCUGUCUUAAAAGUUCGGGGCUUAACCCCGUGAUGGGAUGGAAACUGCUGAUCUAGAGUAUCGGAGAGGAAAGUGGAAUUCCUAGUGUAGCGGUGAAAUGCGUAGAUAUUAGGAAGAACACCAGUGGCGAAGGCGACUUUCUGGACGAAAACUGACGCUGAGGCGCGAAAGCCAGGGGAGCGAACGGGAUUAGAUACCCCGGUAGUCCUGGCCGUAAACGAUGGGUACUAGGUGUAGGAGGUAUCGACCCCUUCUGUGCCGGAGUUAACGCAAUAAGUACCCCGCCUGGGGAGUACGACCGCAAGGUUGAAACUCAAAGGAAUUGACGGGGGCCCGCACAAGCGGUGGAGUAUGUGGUUUAAUUCGACGCAACGCGAAGAACCUUACCAGGUCUU